rnacentral:rRNA from 1 species
AUUAGCUAGUUGGCGGGAUAACAGCCCCCCAAGGCGACGAUGGGUAGCCGAGCUGAGAGGUUGGCCGGCCACACUGGGACUGAGACACGGCCCAGACACCUACGGGUGGCAGCAGUAGGGAAUCUUGGACAAUGGGCGCAAGCCUGAUCCAGCCAUGCCGCGUGAGUGAUGAAGGUCUUCGGAUUGUAAAACUCUUUUCUCGGGGGCGAACGGCUUCGGGAGGCAAUGCCCGGGGUAUGACGGUACCCGAGGAAUAAGCAACGGCUAACUCCGUGCCAGCAGCCGCGGUGAUACGGAGGUUGCAAGCGUUGUUCGGAAUGACUGGGCGUAAAGGGAGCGCAGGCGGCUUGUUAAGUCUGGAGUGAAAGCCCGGGGCUCAACCCCGGCGGGUCUUCGGAUACUGGCAAGCUCGAGUACGGAAGAGGAGAGUGGAAUUCCAGGUGUAGCGGUGAAAUGCGUAGAUAUCUGGAGGAACACCGGUGGCGAAAGCGGCUCUCUGGUCCGAUACUGACGCUCAGGCUCGAAAGCGUGGGGAGCAAACGGGAUUAGAUACCCCGGUAGUCCACGCCGU